UGCCAUAUUGGGUGCUGGCGAACGAAGCCGUGGCGUCUGUGGGCGAGUGUCGCCAACCCGCUUCCGGGCUCGGACCUUUUCUUCCAGGUCACGUGAGGAGACGACUUCAUCUUUCCAGGCAGAAGCACACACUCUUGGAUCUAGGAAGAUGCCUUUAGUGACAAUUUCUAAGUGCUUAAAAGAUGAGAAAACUCUACACAGUGUCUGCUGAGGAAUGGACCCAGCCUAGCUCCCUGUGGCAGAUGAAGUUUUUCACAGAGCAAACAGCUCAGAAGGAGACCCACAAAACCCGGCAAUCACAUAGGCCUCUAGAGGCCUCUAGAGAAGACUUGAGUUGGGGACUGGAGGACCAGAGGCUUGCCUUUCCCUGGCUGCACCUGCCUGCCUUUUGCAUGAUGCAUCUGCUACUAUGUUACAUUUUUUGAAAGAUAAAUAAAACUUAAAUUCAGAAACUUCAAGAUUUUCUUUCCCAAAGCUCAGAUCUUCUCAGAUGCUAAGUGAGUGCUGAAGUCUCAUAAAACAAAUGAAUGUCCCCAUUGCUCUGUUAUGUGGAAUGCA